rnacentral:rRNA from 1 species
CCUACGGGAUGCAGCAGUGGGGAAUCUUGCACAAUGGGGGAAACCCUGAUGCAGCGACGCCGCGUGAGCGAUGAAGGACUUCGGUAUGUAAAGCUCUAUCAGCAGGGAAGAAAAUGACGGUACCUGACUAAGAAGCCUCGGCUAACUACGUGCCAGCAGCCGCGGUAAUACGUAGGGGGCAAGCGUUAUCCGGAUUUACUGGGUGUAAAGGGAGCGUAGACGGUCCUGCAAGACAGAUGGGAAGGCCCGGGGCUCAACCCCGAGACUGCAUUUGAAACUGUAAGGCUAGAGUGUCGGAGAGGCAGGCGGAAUUCCUAGGGUAGCGGUGAAAUGCGUAGAUAUUAGGAGGAACACCGGUGGCGAAGGCGGCCUGCUGGACUGCAACUGACGUUGAGGCCCGAAAGCGUAGGGAGCAAACAGGAUUAGAUACCCUUGUAGUC